UUGGUUAUAAAGUGUAAUUAUUUUGGACAGUUUUUGUUUAUGAAGUUAGUAAUGGAUAUGUAUUAUAAAAUCAGAAGGGAAUAUUUUGCUUUAGGGUAGGAAUGCACAAUUUAAGAUAUGUAAAUUAUGUAUUUUAAUUUAAAUGUUUUAGUAAUAUUUUAAGUGUUUAUUGUUCAAAAAAGGAGAAUAAUGUUUUUUUUAUAUUAAUUACUCUUCAUUACUAACCAUGAUUAAUAUUUCAGAGAAGACAAGAAGAAACAGAUAUAUGCUUCAAAUGUGAAGGAAAGUGACAGAGAGAAGACUUUGGAAAGAAAAAAAUCAAGAGAAGCUGAGAAGGCAAAAACUGAGAUUGCAAAGGAAAAAGAGAUAAGGUAUUACUAUUUGUUCUUUAUAUAAAUUAUUUGUUCAUUAUUAAAAAAAUUCAUAUUUGUAUUAAUAUAUGGUCACAUUAACUAGGCCACAAAGGGAAAUCCCAAAUGUUCCUCUUGCUUUCCGAUCUCCAUACAUGGUCAAGUACAAGGAUUUGUUCAAAGAUGAAGACACAAUGAACAAACUUGUAACAGACUAUGCUUAUAGUGGAAAAGAUCAAAGUGAGCUACUAUACUAUGAUGGAGUGAAUUCGAUCAAUAGGGAAGAGAUGAAAACUCUUGAAGGGGAUACAUUAGUAGUUAACAAUGUGA